rnacentral:lncRNA from 1 species
GAAAUAAAAACAUAAAGACUAAAGUCUACAAAAAAUGCAGUGCAAUAUUAACAGUUUUAUCAAAUUGAAACAGACUGAAGUUAGUUAUUAUGUGCAAAGUGCAUUAGUUAGGAGAUACUUCCUUUUUAACUUUUAGAAUUAUAUGCAAAAAUGAAUGAAAUCUUACAACUGAAAGUUACUUCCCUUUAUGUUUAUGCUCAUUUAUUUAUUGUACUGAUCAUGUACUAAAACACAGAAACACAAAAACCACACAAAUGAGAAUUUAAAAAAAAAUCAUAUCAGACUCCAUGAAAUUAGUGUUUGUCUGGAGUAGAAAUCAAACGGUAUACUAAAAACCAAAAUAAAUUCAAACAAACUUCAAACGGACCGAAAAUAUAUGUUUUGAUAAGAUUAGAACCACAACAAAAAAGGCAUUUGACGGAGAGUUGAGUUUUAGAAUAACUUAAGAGUAUACUAAUGACUAGAGAUGGCUGUUUGUGAGUGACAACAUGUUGGUUUUUAAAAUAAAGUUUUUCAGAUAAGUUUUUUUUUUAGUUCAUGAAAUAACAUUUGGAUCAAUCAAGAACUUAUUAAUUAUAUAGAUGUACUGUUCCUAGGAUCAAUGAUCAAAAGUUUUAACAAAUGGAACUAUAGAUGCUACAGGAAAGCUAUGUUUAAAACGAAUUUGUUGAUAUUCGUUGUUGUUCUCGUUGCUAUAUGUAAUUGGGGGAAACCUUUUUUCACGUACCAUAAGUGAUAUAUCACGUGACACAUACGCAUUUUGUACGCUUCAUAUUGCACGCUGCUAUUUUACAUAUAGAUUUGCAUUGUUAGGCACUUUAAAUUGAUGUUUAAUGAGGAAUGCACUUCGAUGGAAUUAUUUUCAUUAGUUUUGAGGUAGCUAUUUUCAAAGGUUCAUCACUGCCAUAAACGGGAAUAUAUCCACAUAAAGGUCAAGGUUACUGCUAGCAUGUGCAUAGAUACGUGCAGACUGCUUCCAUUGUUCACACAGGUAUUCAAUGUUGUGGCUG